CAGGUUCAAAUUUUAUGCAGCCGAUGCUGGGAGAUCGUGAGAAUUGUUUGUUGAUGUCCAUCUCGUGCCUUUUGAUGUGGUCAAAUACGAUGACCGUAAUCUGUUGCCGUUGUCCAGAGACCGCUUCUAUGUUUUUGGUCGAUUGCGACGUCGUCGUCGGCAUUAAACUAAGACCGGAUCAUCUCGAAGAGGGAAAUUUAACUCCGAUGUGCAGCAGGUACAAAACGCCGAAGGAAAAGGCGGUUUUGCAGAAUACUUCUGCGCGUCAUCCUACCGAGGACGAUCCUGACGCUCAAGGAUCGUAUACAACUGAUCGAGCCUCAUCUGGACCAGAUAUGGAUAUCACGUUCGACGGAUAGGAAGAAACAAGCCAUGAUCAACGUCCCGCUGGAAACUCUUGGUGGCAAGGAAAAGCUACUGGGAUUUUACAUAAACGGACUUUUCAUGCCCCGACGUGUGUCCCAAUCUGGCUCUGUGAAAAUGGUCUGCUAAAAGUCAGAAUCAAACUAAACAGUGACGCCUAGGAGAAACUUCCCACCUGCCGAUUGUCAAGGCGCCCGCCUUUUGCUCAAGUCUGACCGACCGUAAUUCUUUGAGCUGAAGCUGCGCCCGACGUCCGGCCGCGCCGGAUGUACGUCAACUGAUUGGCUCUAAGUGCUGAUCCUAACGGCAGCGGGUAAGAUCUACAAGCUCAAAUUCUUUUGCACAAUCUCUAAUCUCUCUCCCAAUCCAACCAGCUCUGAUGCCUGAUGCACGUUCAUCAUGACCACGAACCACCUGCUUACGCUGCGCAAAUACAUUAGGGACGAAAUUAACCAAGAUUGUAAUCCACAUUACUCCUACAUCUUAGUGUGAAUUAAUUGUAGGUUCAAAAACGAAAAUAAAAGCAUUUUUUGCGAAUAAA